rnacentral:rRNA from 1 species
UACGAAGGGGGCUAGCGUUGUUCUGAAUUACUGGGCGUAAAGCGCGCGCAGGCGGUCUUCCAAGUCAGUGGUGAAAGCCCGGAGCUCAACUCCGGAACUGCCAUUGAAACUGUAAGACUUGAGGAUGAGAGAGGUGAGUGGAAUUCCCAGUGUAGAGGUGAAAUUCGUAGAUAUUGGGAAGAACACCGGUGGCGAAGGCGGCUCACUGGCUCAUUACUGACGCUGAGGUGCGAAAGCGUGGGGAGCAAACAGG